rnacentral:snoRNA from 11 species
CCUCCUUUUCUUGGCAGGCACAGGCCUUGCCAUGCCUGGUUCUGUAAUGACUGGAGGAAAAGGAAUGCCUGCCCAGUGUUCUGUCUUCGGUGCCAGCGGUUUUGCCAUCUGCUGGUUCUAUCCUCAAGCACUGGGACAAAA